ACAGAAGCCUUUUAUAAGAAGACUGAGGAUGAAGACAAAAAAGACAACCCUGCUUAGGCUACAGUUUCUUUUGAAUUAAUAUUUAAAAUAAAGAACAAAAAAAAAAUUAUUGAGAAGGCACUGACUUCCAGGUUUUCUGCAAGAAGCUCAAGGAUGCGCCUGAACCUGAGGAAAUCCCAGUCUGAACUGAGACCUUGACCAUAAGAAGAAAAAGAAGAUGAUGACGAAGAAGAGGAAAGCUAAUCCUUGGAAGCAGGAUGAAAAAGAGAAAAUGUAACAAAAAGGAACAGACUGAUAUUUGACUGAAGAAUAUCUGCCAUUUAUAUCUACUGUAUUAACAUGAUGUCACUGAAUACAAUCCCUCAUCUUUCAUCCACUAGUCAAACUCUAACUCUUUAUUACAGUCUUAAAAUCAAUCAUGGCUGCUCAUUUCCAUCAAAACAAGGAGCACGAAAGCACCAAGCUUAUAAUUUGUUGUAAAUCUGUAGCAAAAUGUGUUUGUAAUUUUGUAUGUUUUCUAACUAUAUUUAGCAAAGUAGCUGCCCAUGUUUUGU
ensembl:processed_transcript